CUGACCUUAGCUCAGUUAGUAGUGCAGAGGACUGUAGUUUGAUUAAUCUAAAUUGGAAAUCCUUAGGUCGCUGGUUCGAAUCCGGCAGGUCGGA
rfam:Ipomoea nil DNA, scaffold: scaffold3056, cultivar: Tokyo-kokei standard.